ACGCUCGACACCUACGAGGCAGCAGUGAGGAAUAUUGGUCAAUGGGCGCAGGCCUGAACCAGCCAAGUAGCGUGAAGGAUGACUGCCCUAUGGGUUGUAAACUUCUUUUAUAUGGGAAUAAAGUUUUCCACGUGUGGAAUUUUGUAUGUACCAUAUGAAUAAGGAUCGGCUAACUCCGUGCUAGCAGCCGCGGUAAUCUGAGCGGGCUGGCAAGGC
rnacentral:rRNA from 1 species